rnacentral:rRNA from 1 species
UACGGAGGGUGCAAGCGUUAUCCGGAUUCACUGGGUUUAAAGGGUGCGUAGGUGGGCAGGUAAGUCAGUGGUGAAAUCUCCGAGCUUAACUCGGAAACUGCCGUUGAUACUAUUUGUCUUGAAUAUUGUGGAGGUAAGCGGAAUAUGUCAUGUAGCGGUGAAAUGCUUAGAUAUGACAUAGAACACCAAUUGCGAAGGCAGCUUACUACACAACGAUUGACGCUGAGGCACGAAAGCGUGAGGAGCAAACAGG